GUCGUUCCUGAGCUUCCCCUCUGGCAUUUUCAAGACAGUGGUAAAAAAAAAGAAAUACAUUAAGCAAAUUCUAUGAGCAGUUAUUUCUGCUUAUGCAAUUGGGUUCAAAAACGCUCUUGAAGGACUUGGGAUUGCAGUUCUAAAGAAAACAUAUUUCUUCAGUUAUGAAAACCUCCACUGCAAAGUUGUAUGCACUGUGCUUCUCAAGAGGACUCGGGGCCUUGCCGCUGGCCUGUGUCCCCGCCCCGUUCAGAGAGGGCUGUGUGCCAGUUUAUCGCAGCCAACGUGUCGUUUACGCUCCAGUCUUCCUGUGCUUCACUGUUCAGCUGAACAGGUCCUCCCUGUCCCUGCGCGGCCGUCGUGGUGUUGGCGGCGUUGUGUGUGGUUGCUGCAUGGCCGGGUGUCGAUCUGUUAUCCAUGUGACUUCAUGCCACUGUGUUAAUUCUGUGUCUCUGUGACUGUUUGCGCCGCUAGCUGCUACACUGAAGCCACCAUGCUGUUUUCGAGGCAGUCCACCCUUGAUGACUUAGACGGACCAGACCCUGUGCCCAAAACGAGCGAGCGCUCGAGGCCUCGGCUCCGUAAAAUGCUCAGCAUGGACAUGUCCUCCUCAUCCGCUGACAGUGGCAGCUUAGCGUCCAGCGAGCCCACGCAGUGCACCAUGCUGUACUCCCGCCAGGGGACCACGGAGACCAUCGAGGAGGUGGAGGCGGAGGCGGAGGAGGAGACAGUGGGUGCCCAGCUGGAGGAGGAGGAGGAGGAGGAGGAGGAGGAGCACGGGGCCAAGUGUGGGGCAGAGGCUGAGGAGGCCAGCCUCAGCCCCGAGGACGAGGAGGACGAGCCACCGCUGCUCUCCACCAAUGACGGGGACAUGGAGGUGCCACCCUCCUACAGCAAAGCUGUCAGCUUCGAGCACUUGUCCUUCGGCUCGCAGGACGGCGCCGAAGCCAAGAACCACAUGGUGGUCAGCCCGGACGACAGCCGCACCGACAAGCUGGAGUCCAGCCUGCUGCCACCCCUGACCCACGAGCUGACGGCCAGCGAGCUGCUGCUCAACAAGAUGUUCCAUGACGACGAGCUGGAGGAGUCCGAGAGGUUCUACGUGGGCCAGCCGCGCUUCCUGCUGCUGUUCUACGCCAUGUACAACACGCUGGUGGCCCGCUCCGAGAUGGUGUGCUACUUCGUGAUCAUCCUCAACCACAUGGUGUCCGCCUCCAUGAUCACGCUGCUGCUGCCCAUCCUUAUCUUCCUGUGGGCCAUGCUCUCUGUGCCCAGGCCCAGCCGGCGCUUCUGGAUGAUGGCCAUCGUCUACACCGAGGUGGCGAUUGUGGUGAAGUAUUUCUUCCAGUUCGGGUUCUUCCCCUGGAACAAGAACGUGGAGAUCCACAAGGACAAGCCCUACCACCCGCCGAACAUCAUCGGGGUGGAGAAGAAGGAGGGCUACGUGCUCUACGACCUCAUCCAGCUCCUGGCACUCUUCUUCCACCGCUCCAGGACACUUCUGACGGCCUGGCCUAGGCCUGACCAGGGAGCGCCGGAGCGGAGCGCGAGGCCGCUCUCGCAGCAGGAGGAAGCCCGGGGUGGGCAGGACAGCUGGCCCACACAGGCCCAGCCGCUCUGCUC
rnacentral:lncRNA from 1 species